rnacentral:rRNA from 1 species
CGGGCUCAAACGGGAGCGGACGGAGGCAGAGACGCCUCUUCCCUUCGGGGCCGCUUCCGAGGUGCUGCAUGGUUGUCGUCAGCUCGUGCCGUGAGGUGUCGGCUUAAGUGCCAUAACGAGCGCAACCCCCGCCGCCAGUUGCCAUCAUUCAGUUGGGGACUCUGGCGGGACUGCCAACGCAAGUUGCGAGGAAGGCGGGGAUGACGUCAAAUCAGCACGGCCCUUACGUCCGGGGCGACACACGUGUUACAAUGGCCGGUACAGCGGGAAGCCACUGGGUGACCAGGAGCGGAACCCGAAAGCCGGCCUCAGUUCGGAUCGGAGUCUGCAACCCGACUCCGUGAAGCUGGAUUCGCUAGUAAUCGCGCAUCAGCCAUGGCGCGGUGAAUACGUUCCCGGGCC